rnacentral:lncRNA from 1 species
GUGGGAAAACAAGAGGAACCUCCAAAAUUUCCUAGCUGCACAAAGAAAUUGGUGGAAAUUCACUUCAUUUUGAAGCUCGGGGUUUCUAUGUGGUUGAUUUAAUCAAAAUAUUAAUGUGAUUUUUCUAGAAGAAGAAAAAGGGAAAAUAUAAAAAUCAUGCUGAUUGGAUUUGAAUAGAUUGUAUUGAUCAUAUAUGAAUAUUAUCUUUCAUCCAGAUUGGAAAGUACUGUUUUGAAAUCCAGUCCUUCACACUUCCAAACUGAUCAUUUUUAAUAAGUAAAUGUCAUUUUGGCUUUUUUUUUUUUUUUCUGGUCAGGAAGAAAAACAAGAAGUUUCCUUCCGCAAACUUCCUAAAAGGUGCCAUGUGUUUUCCUAAAACCAAGGAAAAUUCUAAAAUAGAACUACCAUAUGAUUCAGCAAUCCCACUUCUCUAAAUCUCCAGAAUCUCCAGGGAUUGGAACCAAGUGCUUUAUCUUUACCAUAUACCAAUCCAUGAAUCAACUCCAAAACAGAUCUCUAGAAACAGACAAGACUGACUACUGCCUGAAGGUUUCUGACACCAAGUUCCUGAGAUGUACCAAAUAUGAAAUAAUUUUAGAAUUCGAUCUCAAAUGGCCCUUUUGCAAACUCCAAAAUGUUGUAUUGUUAUCUGGGAGAGAAUCAUUUGCAAGAAAAGAAUAACUUAUCAGAAAGGAGAAACUGCACAGAAGAUCCAAAGGCUCAACUGUUCCCAUGUGUACUGGGCUUCUGACUCAUUCUGGUUCUCAGGAAAGAGAGGCAAACCUCUGUUUCACAGCAAUUUUCAGAGGGAUUUGGGGGCUCUCGGGCUGCUAUGAGCCAGUGGCUGCUGUGUGCAUGCAGGAGGAGGUCAUCUUGCAGAGGAGUAGAGAUGUUAGCUUUGCAGGGAAAUAAAGAAAGAUAAAGAAG